rnacentral:rRNA from 1 species
AGUGAACGCUGGCGGUAGGCCUAACACAUGCCAGUCGAACGGCAGCACAGUAAGAGCUUGCUCUUACGGGUGGCGAGUGGCGGACGGGUGAGGAAUACAUCGGAAUCUACUUUUUCGUGGGGGAUAACGUAGGGAAACUUACGCUAAUACCGCAUACGACCUACGGGUGAAAGCAGGGGAUCUUCGGACCUUGCGCGAUUGAAUGAGCCGAUGUCGGAUUAGCUAGUUGGCGGGGUAAAGGCCCACCAAGGCGACGAUCCGUAGCUGGUCUGAGAGGAUGAUCACCAACACUGGAACUGAGACACGGUCCAGACUCCUCAGGGAGGCAGCAGUGGGGAAUAUUGGACAAUGGGCGCAAGCCUGAUCCAGCCAUACCGCGUGGGUGAAGAAGGCCUUCGGGUUGUAAAGCCCUUUUGUUGGGAAAGAAAAGCAGAAGGUUAAUACCCCGCUGUUCUGACGGUACCCAAAGAAUAAGCACCGGCUAACUUCGUG